AACGAACGCUGGCGGCAUGCCUAACACAUGCAAGUCGAACGAGACCUUCGGGUCUAGUGGCGCACGGGUGCGUAACGCGUGGGAACCUGCCCUUAGGUUCGGAAUAACUCCCCGAAAGGGGUGCUAAUACCGGAUAAUGUCUUCGGACCAAAGAUUUAUCGCCUUUGGAUGGGCCCGCGUUGGAUUAGCUAGUUGGUAGGGUAAAAGCCUACCAAGGCGACGAUCCAUAGCUGGUCUGAGAGGAUGAUCAGCCACACUGGGACUGAGACACGGCCCAGACUCCUACGGGAGGCAGCAGUGGGGAAUAUUGGAAAAUGGGCGAAAGCCUGAUCCAGCAAUGCCGCGUGAGUGAUGAAGGCAUUAGGGUUGUAAAGCUAUUUUAACCGGGAUGAUAAUGACAGUACCGGGAGAAUAAGCUCCGGCUAACUCCGUG
rnacentral:rRNA from 1 species